AGAAAGGACAGAAGGCAGAGGGGCCAGCAUGACCGGCUGUGGAAACAGGCAGCACAUUAUGAUCCACUUUUUUGGAUCUCAUUGAGCAUCCACCAGAUGACCAUCAGUGACUGAUAGAGCUUAAUUAAAAUGUAAGCACCCUGGACCUAGAGGAUCAGCACAGGAACUGAACAGACAUCUCCAAGAUGAAUUUCACAUAGCUUGAAAGCAAUGUUCAUAUGGAUUUAUGCUUUCUUUUAUGCAUGAGAAAGAACCCAGGGCUGUGAACUACUUGGAAGGACAUUUUACUCUAGCCCUAGCAGUUUUUGAAAUGUUGAAUCUGAGGAGAUAAGAUGCAAGAAGGAAGGCCAAGUAGUCGGAGUUGCUUUACACCCAUUGGUAUGGAUCAUUCCUCAGUGAGUCACGUGCUGCUGCUGGAAAAGUUUUUGGAGAAGAGUUCUAGCUGUGAAACACAGAAAUGGUGAUGGAUACAGCAGGGGGCCACUAAAGUUCAAGAAUUUGAAGCCAAGAUUUGAUACUGCAAAAAUUCAGAUAAAAGCUGUGAAGUAAAGGAGGAAAUUUGCAGAACAACUCAGAAUUUCCUAUUCACAUUGCUUCAGAGAAAAAACAUCUUUAAGAAAGCUGGAUGUGUAAUGA